CAGAAGAAGAGACCAAAGCUACAAGCCCCUCGUGAACCAACUGCAUCCUCCAGCGGGGAAGAGCACUGAGGAGACACCUGAGCCAGCAAGUGGGACCUGCAGACAGGCUGUGAUACACAAGCAGGACAAAAGAUACUGACAGUCCCCAGCACCACACCUCAAGCUCACCUGCAUGAGGAGUACCAGAUCCCAAGUGCUGCGGAGCCGUUGUGACAUUUAAUAAAAAUAAUUCAAGGGCCAACUACAGAAAGAGGUAAGGAAAGGUGGAGUCGGACCACGGAAGAGAACGCCUGAGAACUGAGGUGUGGAGACCCAUCAUCGCCAGGACUGUUCUCGUCUUCAGCUCUCUGAGUGUCGGCUGCCCACCCCCAAAACUCUGAGAUAGACUAAGCUAAACGUAUGAAAGGUUGUAUCUGAAGCUAAGACUCCCGGAGGCAAAGGAGCAUGCUUUCCCAGCAGUCUCUGGCAUCCUGCUUCUGCCUAAUGACCUCACUGCUGAUCUCCCCCCACUUUGACAGCGGAGAGCCCUCCCAUAUACCAAUUCUUGAUCAUUUCCAACCCUGUGUAGGCUCUUCCUUCCCCUUCUGUGUCUGCUUUACAACACGAAACAAGCAAUAUUCAAGUCAUGAUAGAGACAGGAUAAACUGAGAUACUAAAGUGGCAGCCUUUGUCACCUUGUCUAGCCCACCGAGAUUCAUUACCUUGAGUUCUAACAGCACUCUGUCGUUUACUGAAGAAACUGAUGGAUAAAGAGAUCAACCCUGGACACACAGUCAGGAAAUGGCAGAGAUGGACUCUGCCACGCUCUAUAGGGAGUCAAAAGUCCCAAUUCUCCCCUAAGAGUCCUGUUACCUCUCCAUAAUGUGUCUACAGUGUAUCCUAUGCCCCUGUCGCCUGCCUUCCAGGUAGAAGAUCUCCUGGUAGGGAUCCAGUCUGACUCAGCAGAGUUCAGGAAGCAGGAGAGGAAACCGGAUCCUGAGCCCCCUUGGCUUAGAGAGUCCUAAGAGCAUAAGGAGCCAUUCCAGUCUGUCAGGACAGAUGUAAUCAGGGUGACCUCGCCUUUUUCACAGAUUCAUUAAAGUCUGUGUUCUGGGGUAAA